AUUGAACGCUGGCGGCAUGCUUUACACAUGCAAGUCGAACGGUAACAGGCCGCAAGGUGCUGACGAGUGGCGAACGGGUGAGUAAUGCAUCGGAACGUGCCCAGUCGUGGGGGAUAACUACUCGAAAGAGUAGCUAAUACCGCAUACGAUCUAUGGAUGAAAGCGGGGGACCGUAAGGCCUCGCGCGAUUGGAGCGGCCGAUGUCAGAUUAGGUAGUUGGUGGGGUAAAGGCUCACCAAGCCAACGAUCUGUAGCUGGUCUGAGAGGACAACCAGCCACACUGGGACUGAGACACGGCCCAGACUCCUACGGGAGGCAGCAGUGGGGAAUUUUGGACAGUGGGCGCAAGCCUGAUCCAGCAAUGCCGCGUGCAGGAAGAAGGCCUUCGGGUUGUAAACUGCUUUUGUACGGAACGAAACGGCUCUGGUUAAUACCCGGGGCUAAUGACGGUACCGUAAGAAUAAGCACCGGCUAACUACGU
rnacentral:rRNA from 1 species